AGUGAACGCUGGCGGUAGGCCUAACACAUGCAAGUCGAACGGCAGCACAGUAAGAGCUUGCUCUUACGGGUGGCGAGUGGCGGACGGGUGAGGAAUACAUCGGAAUCUACUUUUUCGUGGGGGAUAACGUAGGGAAACUUACGCUAAUACCGCAUACGCCCUACGGGUGAAAGCAGGGGAUCUUCGCACCUUGCGCGAUUGAAUGAGCCGAUGUCGGAUUAGCUAGUUGGCGGGGUAAAGGCCCACCAAGGCGACGAUCCGCAGCUGGUCUGAGAGGAUGAUCAGCCAGACGGCGACUGAGACACGGUCCAGGCUGCUACGGGAGGCAGCAGUGGGGAAUAUUGGACACUGGGCGCAAGCCUGAUCCAGACAGACCGCGUGGGUGAAGAAGGCCUUCGGGUUGGAAAGCACAUUUGUUGGGAAAGAAAAGCAGCAGGUUAAUCCCCCGCUGUGUUGACGGUACCGAAAGAGUAAGCACCGGCUAACUUCGUG
rnacentral:rRNA from 1 species